GGAAGACAUGAUGAGCACACGAUGGAUGCCUUGGCGCUACGUGCCGAUGAAGGACGGGGCACCGCUCCGAUAAGCUCCGGGGAGCCGCAAGCAGGCACCGAUCCGGAGAUUUCCGAAUGGGGCAACCCAUCCCCCCCGGGGGAUACCGGGCAACGCUCGGAGGGAACCCGGCCAACUGAAACAUCUCAGUAGCCGGAGGAAGAGAGAACCACACCCGUAGUAGUGGCGAACGAACCGGGUUUCUGCCUAAACCAGUGCGGUGUCAAGGCGCCAGCCGUUGCCGCACUGGGGUUGUAGGACCGUUCAUUGGGGGUCUGGCGACCCUCGCCGCGUCCUCCUGGGCUAGCCGAAGCGGUUUGGAACACCGCACCAGAGCGGGUGAGAGUCCCGUAGGCGGCCCCCACCGACGCGUGAACGACUCCUGAGUAGGUCCGGGCACGAAGAACCCGGGCUGAAGCGAGGCUGACCACAGUCUAAGGCAAGCUACACGUAGCGACCGAUAGCGGACAGUACCGUGAGGGAAUGGUGAAAAGUACCCCGUCGAGGGGAGUGAAAGAGACCCUGAAAUCGUGUGCUUCCAUGCCGUGGGAGGGCUAGAACCUUCGGGUUACGCCUGACCGCGUGCCUUUUGGAGUAUGAUCCGGCGAGUUACGGUGCGUGGCUCGGUUAAGGCAGACACAGCCGGAGCCAGAGUGAACGCGAGCCUGAAGAGGGCGUCGGUCGCGUGCCGUAGACGCGAAACCAUGUGAGCUACCCAUGGGCAGGCUGAAGCGUCCCUAACAGGACGUGGAGGGCCGCACCGGUGUGGGUUACAAACCGCUCGGAUGACCUGUGGGUAGUGGUGAAAUGCCUAUCGAACAUGGAGAUAGCUCGUUCUCCCCGAAAUGCAUUGAGGUGCAGCCGCGGCCUAGCGGCUCCUGGAGGUAGAGCACUGUUGUCGUGCGGGGGCUUCACCGCUUACCAAGCGACGGCAAACUCCGAAUGCCAGGAGACCGUCACCGCGAGUGAGACGGCGGGUGCGAACAUCCGUCGUCAAGAGGGAAACAACCCAGACCGCCAGCUAAGGCCCCGAAAUGAUGACUCAGUGGGAAAGGUUGUGGUGCCGCGCAGACAACCAGGAGGUUGGCUUAGAAGCAGCCAUCCUUGAAAGAGUGCGUAAUAGCUCACUGGUCGAGUAGCGCUGCGCCGAUGCUGUAUCGGGGCAAAGUCAUCUGCCGACGCUGCGGGUAGGAGCAAUCCUACGGUAGGGGAGCGUCGUCAACGGAUAGAAGCCGGAGCGGAAGCCCCGGUGGACUGUUGACGAGUGCGAAUGCCGGAAUGAGUAACAGAGAAGUGGGGUGCGAACCCCCACCGCCGAAAACCUGAGGGUUCCGCCGCACGGGUGAUCCGCGGCGGGUUAGUCGGGCCUAAGCCGAAGCCGAAGGGCGUAGGCGAUGGACAACAGGUGCAUAGUCCUGUACCACGCCUGGUUCGUUUGACCAAUGCCGGAGACUGAGGGGGAGCCGCCGCGACGAGAUGAGCGUCGUCCAAGCCGGUAGGGAGCCUCGGGACGAAAUCCCCGGGGCGUUGACCGAGAGGUGAUGGGAAGAGGUUCGCGAGAACUUCAACGGCGGGGCACCUGUGCAGGCAAGAAAUGCCGGCUCGGGAGAACCAGCGUGACCGUACCGCAAACCGACACAGGUAGGUAGGUCGAGGAGACCAAGGCGGACGAGUGAUCCCUCGUUAAGGAACUCGGCAAAUUGACCCCGUACCUUCGGAAGAAGGGGUGCUGCGUUAGGGUGAAGCCGCUUGCCGGUGGAGCGCGAGGCAGCCGCAGGGUCCAGGCCCGGGCGACUGGAUAACAGAACCACAGCUCCCUGCUGAAGCCGCAAGGCGACGUAUAGGGGGUGAUGCCUGCCCAGUGCCGGAAGGUUAAGGGGAGGGGUGCAAGCUCCGAACCGAAGCCCCGGUAAACGGCGGCCGUAACUAUAACGGUCCUAAGGUAGCGAAAUUCCUUGUCGGGUAAGUUCCG
rnacentral:rRNA from 1 species